rnacentral:rRNA from 1 species
UCGAACGACUCGGACUAUGGCGAGAAGUGGCAAACUGCUCAGUAACACGUAGCUAACCUACCCUCAGGACGGAGACAACCCCGGGAAACUGGGGUUAAUCCCCGAUAGGCGUGGAUUCCUGGAAUGGUGUCACGCCGAAACGUUAACACACCAUGUUUGUGUACACGCCUGAGGAUGGGGCUGCGGCCGAUCAGGCAGUUGGUGAGGUAACGGCUCACCAAACCUUUGACCGGUACGGGCCGUGAGAGCGGUAGCCCGGAGAUGGACACUGAGACAAGGGUCCAGGACCUACGGGUCGCAGCCGGUACGAAACCUCCACAAUGCACGCAAGUGCGAUGGGGUUACCUCGAGUGCCGCCUGAAGAAGGCGGCUUUUCCAUUGUGUAAUGAGCCGUGGGAAUAAGGGGGGGGCAAGACUGGUGUCAGCCGCCGCGGUAACACCAGCCCCCCGAGUGGUGGGGAUGUUUAUUUGGCCUAAAACGUCCGUAGCCAGCUAGGUAAAUCUCUCGUUAAAUCCAGCGUCCCAAGCGUUGGGCCGCGAGAGAGACUGCCAAGCUAGAGGGUGGGAGAGGUCAGCGGUAUUUCUGGGGUAGGGGCGAAAUCCAUUGAUCCCAGGAGGACCACCAGUGGCGAAGGCUGCUGACUAGAACACGCCUGACGGUGAGGGACGAAAGCUGGGGUAGCGAAUCGGAUUAGAUACCCGAGUAGUCCCAGCCGUAAACGAUGCAGGCUAGGUGUUGGGUU